rnacentral:rRNA from 1 species
CGGGACGGGUGAGUAACACGUAGAGAACCUACCUUACACAGGGGACGAACGGCUGGAAACGGACUGCUAAUACCGCAUAAGCACCCAGUUUCGCAUGAAACAGAGUGAAAAGAGUAAAUCGGUGUAAGAUGGCUCUGCGUCUGAUUAGCUAGUUGGUGGGGUAAAGGCUCACCAAGGCGACGAUCAGUAGCCGGCCUGAGAGGGCGACCGGCCACAUUGGGACUGAGACACGGCCCAGACUCCUACGGAAGGCAGCAG